ACUCCCCAAAGACUCACUUGACCCAGCACCAAGCUCACUGAGAUCCCCAGACACAUGCCACCAGCCAGGGAGUGACUUAGAACCCACUCGGUUCCUCUGGUUAAAGCAAUGCCUGGCUAAGACGGCUGACAUCAUCGCCACAUACAGGAAGGAAGGAAGAUGUGGGAGCAGAGAGGAAGAGGACCUAGAGGGUGAAGCAUCAAUGGAGAGCAGUCUCCCAAAGCAAUAGCGGGGAACGCAGCCAUGCCUGUAGGCUUCGUGCUCCCAAAUGGACCGAGACAAAAAGAUACGGAGACAAAAGCUCAGAUCCUGUGCUUGUCACUGAUGCUAAAUGCUUACGACGGUAACAGAGAGCCUGCAGCAGCGAUGUGGAUUUAUAGAAACCAGAGCCCCUCCGUUGGCAGAAGGCUAUGAGGAAAUGCAUUGCUUACACAUGAAGUAAGAGCUUAAUAAUUGUGACUUAAAACAAUUGUCAUUUAGAAUAUUUAAACCCUAAAGGCUUGGUUUGAUUUACCUUUCUGUUCCUUAUCCAAAACCUAAAUUAAAAAAACUAAAAACCCA
ensembl:antisense Gm4665 predicted gene 4665